rnacentral:rRNA from 1 species
AUGAACGCUGGCGGCGUGCCUAAUCCAUGCCCGUCGAGCGAACAGACGAGGAGCUUGCUCCUCUGACGUUAGCGGCGGACGGGUGAGUAACACGUGGAUAACCUACCUAUAAGACUGGGAUAACUUCGGGAAACCGGAGCUAAUACCGGAUAAUAUAUUGAACCGCAUGGUUCAAUAGUGAAAGACGGUUUUGCUGUCACUUAUAGAUGGAUCCGCGCCGCAUUAGCUAGUUGGUAAGGUAACGGCUUACCAAGGCGACGAUGCGUAGCCGACCUGAGAGGGUGAUCGGCCACACUGGAACUGAGACACGGUCCAGACUCCUACGGGAGGCAGCAGUAGGGAAUCUUCCGCAAUGGGCGAAAGCCUGACGGAGCAACGCCGCGUGAGUGAUGAAGGUCUUCGGAUCGUAAAACUCUGUUAUUAGGGAAGAACAAAUGUGUAAGUAACUAUGCACGUCUUGACGGUACCUAAUCAGAAAGCCACGGCUAACUACGUG